rnacentral:piRNA from 1 species
UAAAGCCACUGAGAAUUUAAACCAGGAA